UCAGAAAAAAGAUUAUGUAUCCUGAGAUGAAUACAUGUGACAAUUUAAGAAGGGGAUGAAGCAGUUAACAACUGGGGACAAGAGGGUUUCAAAAUCACUUCUCCAAUCAAGACUUAAUGUUGGUUUUUUUAUUGUUGUGGAAGUGAACAAAUGUAAGCUGGGAACAGGAAGAAAGAAGACUAUCUAGUUCUGAACAAGAAACUGGUCUAUGGUUUUCCAAGAAGUGUGCUACUUGGCCUAAGAACAUAGACUGCAGG